rnacentral:rRNA from 1 species
AUGUCCAGUCCAAAAUAUGAUAAGUAUUGUACUCGUAUACACAGCGGAGCACCAAUGGAAGAUGAGAAUUCGUCGUCGCGUACUGGGGGUGGAGAAAGGAAAGGAGUUGGGCAGCCGCGGCAGGUCGAGGUGAGGAGAAGAGUAGCACGGGAGCCUCCCCGUCGCGGGGUAGCCGAUCAGGAAGAAGACGUCGUCGUCGCCGCGACUGGAGCAGAAGCUAUGGCCGGCCCAAUAUUUGGGCUUCUUGGAAUAGGCAUGAGAGAGAGCAUGACAGGGCUCGGCGCUCGCGUAUGUAUAUAUAUAUAUCUAUACUACUACAUAGUGUACCAGUUUUGA